UAUGAGACCCGGAGCAGUCAGCUGAGGAAGUACAGCCCACCCGUGAAGCUGGACGCCCUCUGGCAUAUGCCUCACUUCCGGAAGGUGGGCCCCCACCUGCAUACGUUCCCCACCGAGGCGGAUCGCCAGAGGGCAUUCAAAGCCCACCAGGAAGAGUGUGCUGUGCGCCAGGGGACCCUCCGGAUGGGCAACUACACCCACCCCUAGAUCCUCGCCUGCUACAAGAACCCUCUUGAUGCAGUAGAAGGUUCCCUGAAGGACUCUCUUGCCCCAACUCCCAUAGGACACCCCCCAUUUCCAUGUGGGUUCUGAGGCUGCAAGGAUCUCAGGUUUAGGUCUUAGGCUGAUUGCUUUUGGUAAGAGUACCCCCCGCCCCCCACCUUUUAGGUUAGCCAACAUCAUCCUUACCGUUGCCCCGUGGUCCUCGGCCUGGGGACCCCUCCUCCUCGGGAAGGCUACCCUGCCUCUCUUCUCAAGCCCUCACCUGACAAGGUGAACCCAAAGUACAAGGCAGUUUUUUAGACUCCAGGCUAAGGGUCGAUUCCACAGAUCUGCCCAUGAAGCGUUAAGAACAACUUGUGUAUUUCCUGCAGAAAGCGUGACAGUGACAUGCUUUGAAAGCCCUCAUUUUAUAUUACAAACAUGAGUUUUAAUUGCUCUUUUUGGGAUGCCUGAUGUCUCACCACAGAAGUAUUCUCUCUCUGGGACCCUUGACAGCAGGAAGAGCCGAGAGUUCACUACCCAGGGCCUGCCUCCCCCACCCCACCCGCCCCAUUGCUGGGGCCCUGUCAGUCAGGCAGACCAAGAUGGACUUAUCCCCCAGGACCGACUGGAAUUUAGCCCCCUCCUGAAGGAAGAGCCUGCCAGGCCCGUGAGUGAGUGCAAUGAGGGUGCACAGGCCGUGCAACUUCUCAGCCAAACUCCUGGGCACUUCUGAACUCAGUCUUUCUGCAUGUUCCUUGGUUUCUCCCCACGAAUUAUAUGCUGGUCUAUUUUAAAUUAAAAAUGCUAUUUGUCA